GCCGGUUUUUUGAUAAACCCAUCGAACCCAUUCGAACCGGCCGGUUCAUGGGUUUGUAAUUUUUAAAGGAAAUCCGAACCGAAUUCCCUCGACCCGAAUCGAAAAUGAGCAAGAAUUGAAUCUUGAAACCCUAGUCUUCUUCUGUUCUUCAUCAUCUUCACUCUUCCCACUUCUCCGUUCAGUGACUGUCAUCGCUCAUCAUCACCGAUUUCUGCUUCGAGCUCGAGCAUCGCAGAUUCGCAUGAUUCCUCUUCUCCUUCGAGCGGUAGAGUCCAAAGUCUCCAGAAGAUUCUUCCUCUAAAGUGAGCCCACCCAGGACGGAGAAAGUCUGAAUUUCAGUAGUCGAAAAGUGCUGCGUUAAAGCUCUAUAAGGGAAAAGGAAAAAAAAGAAACAUGACUGAUUCAGGAAGGAGGGACUAAGGAGGAAGGAAAAGAAAAGAAACAGCUAAAGAAAAGUACUGAGGAAAGGUUCUUCAAAUAUAUUUCUAAUUUUUAUGUUAUUAUUUUUAAAUAAUAAAUAUUUAUUUAUUUUAUAAUUAAA